CUUUGGUUGGGGCAACCAUGGAGCUAAUUUAGCCUCCAGUUAUUAAAGCUGAACUUAGGCUCUCUUUAAAAAUUUCAUGAACCAGUUAAUUCUGGAAAUCAGAACAAGUUACCGCAGGGAUAACAGCGUUAUCUUCUCUAAGAGUCCUAAUUGACGAGAAGGAUUGCGACCUCGAUGUUGGAUUGGGGCAUCCUUAUGGUGCAGCAGCUAUAAAGGGUUGGACUGUUCGUCCAUU
rnacentral:rRNA from 1 species